rnacentral:rRNA from 1 species
GACGAACGCUGGCGGCGUGCUUAACACAUGCAAGUCGAACGGAAAGGCCCUGCUUUUGUGGGGUGCUCGAGUGGCGAACGGGUGAGUAACACGUGAGUAACCUGCCCUUGACUUUGGGAUAACUUCAGGAAACUGGGGCUAAUACCGGAUAGGAGCUCCUGCUGCAUGGUGGGGGUUGGAAAGUUUCGGCGGUUGGGGAUGGACUCGCGGCUUAUCAGCUUGUUGGUGGGGUAGUGGCUUACCAAGGCUUUGACGGGUAGCCGGCCUGAGAGGGUGACCGGCCAAAUUGGGCCUGGGAUACGGCCCAGCCUCCUACGGGAGGCAGCAGUGGGGAAUAUUGCACAAUGGGCGGAAGCCUGAGGCAGCAACGCCGCGUGCGGGAUGACGGCCUUCGGGUUGUAAACCGCUUUCGCCUGUGACGAAGCGUGAGUGACGGUAAUGGGUAAAGAAGCACCGGCUAACUACGUG